rnacentral:lncRNA from 1 species
GGGGCCCCCGCCUCUGAGUCCAUGGCGGUGCCCAUGAUGCUGCUCAACCUGGUGGACCAGCUCGGGGAGGCGGACGAGGAGCUGGCGGGCACCUACGCGGAGCUGGGGGACUGGUGUGCCCAGAGGAUCCUGCAGCAUGUCCAGGGUCCGCCUGCUGGUACAGGAGCCGUAGCUUCAGUUGCCUACAGCCGGCUCCUUGGGUUCCCACACUGUCCUCGCCCGCUGUACCCCGGCGGGUGCAUGACGCCUGAUGCUUUUCGAGCAGCCCACCGGGUUUCAGAAGAAAAGUCUCCGUAGCGUGUCUUCCAGAAGGAACUUCGUACCUAGGACUGACAGUUUGGUCAGAUCUCAAAAAACACUCUACGUUUAGUUCCUUCGCAGUCCUUGUGACCAAGAUUCCUUUUAAAAUUUUCAGCAAUUGUCUCCCUAAAGCAUUUUAUAGGGUGUUGUUUGAAGGCUGUUUACCUGAGAUCAAAUGUAUGUUAAGACCCUUAUUUUUCCUCCAAGACUUGGUCCUUUCCUUCAUGCGUUCACAUUCUUUCUCAUUUUAAGAUCAGAGAUGAUUUACCAAAGAAACAGUUGAAAACAGCUUUGGAGAUCUAACCCCCUGGAGGUUCUGCUUCGUUCCAUUCUGGCAAAACGAGAGCCUUUCCGACAUUUCUUGCACGUUUAUAUGCGGCUGUAUACAUAGGCCCUGGAGGGUUUCUCAUACUCUGUGCUUAUUCUGCAACUUGCUCUCAUCACACAAGGAAGCGUGCCCGGGAGAGAGGCUUGAAUUACAGCUCAGGGUGCUCCCACUUCCCCUCCUGGACGGGCAUCUCGAGGUCUGGCAGGGUUUCACUCGGGGGAACAAAGCCGCGUGGCCACAGCCAGGAGCAUUGCUGGAGGACAACGCAGAGUCAGGUGGCGGCGCUGGAUGGCUGCAGCCAGAGACCAGCAAGCAAGCAGCCAGCGGCUCAGAGGAAGAAGCCCGAGGAUUCUUACUCACGGAAGGGGAGCUGAGCAGUCCGGGUUGAAGGGCUGGCUCCGUCGCACACAGUCACUUGGGGACCCCAGCUUUUUAUCUUGUCUCUCCUCCCAUUUGUGCCGCAAGACCAGUUGACACCACCUCCCUACACCCGUUUUGGACUAAGGCUUUUGCAGAAUGCAAUAAAGAGAUCAGAGGGUGCCA